rnacentral:rRNA from 1 species
UCAGGUGGCUAUUGCGGCGGGGUUCCACCUCUUCCCAUUCCGAACAGAGAAGUUAAGCCCGCCUGCGCCGAUGGUACUGCACUGCAAUGCGGGAGAGUAGGAGGCUGCCUUUU